rnacentral:rRNA from 1 species
AAAUACGGCCCAGAAUUCCUACGGGAGGCAGCAGUCGGGGAAUCAUUGCACAAUGGGCCGCAAGCUCUGAUGCAGCCACCCUCCCUUGGGGGAAGACGGCUCUUCGGGUUUUAAACUUCCUUUUCUUAGGGACGAAACCCCCACCCUGUUUUUGGGUGUUGGUGACCGUACCCUUUUUAAGAAGCACCGGCUAACUACGUUGCCACCGCCGCGGUAAUACUUGGGGGAGGAGCGUUUUCCCGAAUUUAUGGGGAGAAAAAAGCUUCAUAGGUGGUUUGUUGGGUUUUUUUGUAAAAUUCGGGGGCUUAAUUUCGGGGGGGCAGGGGAUACGGGCAAAAUUAGAGUGCUGUAGGGGGGACUGGAAUUCGGGGUGAGGCGGUGGGAAUGCCCAGAUAUCAGGAGGAACACAGAUGGCGAAGGCAGGUCUCUGGGCAGUAACUGACGCUGAGGAGCGAAAGCAUGGGGAGCGAACAGGAUUAGAUACCCUGGUAGUCCAUGCUGUAAACGGUGGGCGUUAGGUGUGGGGACCGGUUUGGUUUCUGUGCUGUAGCUAACGCAUUAAGCGCCCCGCCUGGGGAGUACGGCCGCAAGGCUAAAACUCAAGGGAAUUGACGGGGGCCCGCACAAGCGGCGGAGCAUGUGGAUUAAUUCGAUGCAACGCGAAGAACCUUACCUGGGUUUGACAUGCACCAGACGGUUGUAGAGAUACGUACCUCCCUUUGUGGUUGGCGUGCAGGUGGUGCAUGGUUGUCGUCAGCUCGUGUCGUGAGAUGUUGGGUUAAGUCCCGCAACGAGCGCAACCCUUGUCUUAUGUUGCCAGCACUUUGGGUGGGGACUCAUGAGAGACUGCCGGGGUUAACUCGGAGGAAGGUGGGGAUGACGUCAAAUCAUCAUGCCCUUUAUGCCCAGGGCUUCACACAUGCUACAAUGGUUAGUACAACGCGCAGCAAACCUGUGAGGGUGAGCGAAUCGCUGAAAGCUAAUCUCAGUUCGGAUUGGGGUCUGCAACUCGACCCCAUGAAGUCGGAGUCGCUAGUAAUCGCAGAUCAGCAAUGCUGCGGUGAAUACGUUCCCGGGCCUUGCACACACCGCCCGUC